CAACACUGAAGAUAUGACACUCUGCUACAAUGUAACGUAGUAAGUGUACAGCCUGUAUAACAAUGUAAAUUUGCUGUUCUCUCAAAAUAACUCAACACACAGCCAUUAAUGUCUAAACCGUUGACAACAAAAGUGAUUACACCCCUAAGUGGAAAUGUCCAAAUCGGGCCCAAAGUGUCAAUAUUUUGAGAGAUGUAACUCUUGGAUUUUUUGCAAUUUCUCUGAGCAUUGCACAGUCUGACUUUGGGGUGCAUUUGCUGGGACAUCCACUCAUGGGAAGAUUGGUAGCUGUCUUCAAUGUACCACCUGGUACAAUCACACAGAAGAGCUGUAGCUCAAAUUGCGGAAACCUUGCUGGCCAUCAUAGAAUGCUGGUCUUGAUAGAAAAAGCACCUUCAACGGGGACAUGAGCACCAGAAUUGAGCAAUGGAGCAGGAAACACUGUGGGAGGAGGCAGGCAGUGUUAUGCUUGUGGCAAUGUUCCUGGCAUUCAUGUGGAUGUUACUUUGACACGUACCACCUACCUACCUAGAGAUUGUUGCAGACCCAGUAAAUCCCUUCAGGGCAAUGGUAUUCCCUAAUAGCAGUAGCCUCUUUCAGCAGGAUAAUGCACCCUGCCAAACUGCAAAAACUAUUUAAGAAUGGUUUGAGGAGCAUGACAAAGAGUUCAAGGUGUUGCUUUAGCUUCCAAAUUCCCUAGAUCUCAAUCCAAACCAAUAUAAAAGAAAUAGUAAAAAAAAAGUAAGGCUGUGCCUUUAAGACAAAAAAUAAUAAUUUUU